rnacentral:rRNA from 1 species
AUACGGAGGGGGCUAGCGUUGUUCGGAAUUACUGGGCGUAAAGCGUACGUAGGCGGACUGAUCAGUUGGGGGUGAAAUCCCAGGGCUUAACCCUGGAACUGCCUUCAAUACUGUCAGUCUUGAGUUUGGGAGAGGUGAGUGGAAUUCCUAGUGUAGAGGUGAAAUUCAUAGAUAUUAGGAGGAACACCAGUGGCGAAGGCGGCUCACUGGCCCAUUACUGACGCUGAGGUACGAAAGCGUGGGGAGCAAGCAGGAUUAGAAACCCCAGUAGUCC